UGGGGAAUAUUGCACAAUGGGCGGAAGCCUGAUGCAGCGACGCCGCGUGGGGGAUGAAGGCCUUCGGGUUGUAAACUCCUUUCGACAGGGACGAAGCGUAAGUGACGGUACCUGUAUAAGAAGCACCGGCUAACUACGUGCCAGCAGCCGCGGUAAUACGUAGGGUGCGAGCGUUGUCCGAAAUUACUGGGCGUAAAGAGCUCGUAGGUGGUUUGUCGCGUCGUCUGUGAAAUUCCGGGGCUUAACUCCGGGCGUGCAGGCGAUACGGGCUGACUUGAGUGCUGUAGGGGAGACUGGAAUUCCUGGUGUAGCGGUGAAAUGCGCAGAUAUCAGGAGGAACACCGAUGGCGAAGGCAGGUCUCUGGGCAGUAACUGACGCUGAGGAGCGAAAGCAUGGGUAGCGAACAGGAUUAGAUACCCUGGUAGUCCAUGCCGUAAACGGUGGGCGCUAGGUGUAGGGGGCUUCCACGUCUUCUGUGCCGUAGCUAACGCAUUAAGCGCCCCGCCUGGGGAGUACGGCCGCAAGGCUA
rnacentral:rRNA from 1 species